rnacentral:lncRNA from 1 species
UGGAAUCGGAACUGCGAAUGGCAUCGAAAUCAACCUUGGCGCGCCGUCCAUUUUACCAGUUUCCAUACUAAUACUAAAUCCAAAUGAUCACUGUGUCUAAAUUGAUGGACAACGGAAAGCUUCGUUUAUCUCCUUGUUAUAACCUAUGUGCUUUUGGAUCAGCUAUGAGUGAGAUCAGUGGAAAAUUCCUGCAUUGGUGUAUAUGUUCUAUUUUUU